GGGGAAUAUUGCACAAUGGGCGCAAGCCUGAUGCAGCGACGCCGCGUGAGGGAUGGAGGCCUUCGGGUUGUAAACCUCUUUUAUCGGGGAGCAAGCGUGAGUGAGUUUACCCGUUGAAUAAGCACCGGCUAACUACGUGCCAGCAGCCGCGGUAAUACGUAGGGUGCAAGCGUUAUCCGGAAUUAUUGGGCGUAAAGGGCUCGUAGGCGGUUCGUCGCGUCCGGUGUGAAAGUCCAUCGCUUAACGGUGGAUCCGCGCCGGGUACGGGCGGGCUUGAGUGCGGUAGGGGAGACUGGAAUUCCCGGUGUAACGGUGGAAUGUGUAGAUAUCGGGAAGAACACCAAUGGCGAAGGCAGGUCUCUGGGCCGUUACUGACGCUGAGGAGCGAAAGCGUGGGGAGCGAACAGGAUUAGAUACCCUGGUAGUCCACGCCGUAAACGGUGGAUGCUGGAUGUGGGGCCCGUUCCACGGGUUCCGUGUCGGAGCUAACGCGUUAAGCAUCCCGCCUGGGGAGUACGGCCGCAAGGCUAAAACUCAAAGAAAUUGACGGGGGCCCGCACAAGCGGCGGAGCAUGCGGAUUAAUUCGAUGCAACGCGAAGAACCUUACCUGGGCUUGACAUGUUCCCGACGGUCGUAGAGAUACGGCUUCCCUUCGGGGCGGGUUCACAGGUGGUGCAUGGUCGUCGUCAGCUCGUGUCG
rnacentral:rRNA from 1 species